GUGAAUCAUCGAAUCUUUGAACGCACAUUGCGCCCUCUGGUAUUCCGGAGGGCAUGCCUGUCCGAGCGUCAUUGCUGCCCUCAAGCAUGCCCUUUUGGGUGCGCUGGCGUUGGGGCUCCUCCGCCCUCUGUGGCGGCAGGGCCCUCAAAACCAGUGGCGGGCCCGUCUGGUUGGCUCCGAGCGCAGUACCGAACGCAAGUUCUCUCUCUCGCUCUGCAGCCCCCGGUCGGUGCCCAGCCGUCAAGCCGCGCAGGCGGCCCUGCUUGCAGGACCGCCUCGCACUUUUCACAAGGUUGUCCUCGGAUCAGGUAGGAUUACCCGCUGAACUUAA
rnacentral:rRNA from 1 species